GUGGUGACUAGUUGACAGCGUUAGGGAGGGAAGGGGUGACUAGUGACAGAGUGAGGAAGGGGGUGACUAGUGGCAGAGGGAGGGGUGACUAGGGACAGAGGGAGGGAGGUGGUGACUAGUGACAGUCACCACCUCCCUCACUCUGUCACUAGUCACCACCUCCCUCACUGUGUCACCCCCUCCCUCUGUCACUGGUCACCCACUCCCUCCCUCACUCUGUCACUAGUCACCCCUUCCUUCCCUCUGUCACUAGUCACCCCCCUCACUCUGUCACUAGUCACCCCCUUCACUCUGUCACUAGUCACCCCCUCACUCUAGUGA